rnacentral:rRNA from 1 species
UGACCAGACUCCUACGGGAGGCAGCAGUGGGGAAUAUUGGACAAUGGGGGGAACCCUGAUCCAGCGACGCCGCGUGAGUGAAGAAGUCUUUCGGUAUGUAAAGCUCUAUCAGCAGGGAAGAAAGAAAUGACGGUACCUGACUAAGAAGCCCCGGCUAACUACGUGCCAGCAGCCGCGGUAAUACGUAGGGGGCAAGCGUUAUCCGGAUUUACUGGGUGUAAAGGGAGCGUAGACGGCGAUGCAAGUCUGAAGUGAAAGCCCGCAGCUCAACUGCGGGACUGCUUUUGAAACUGUAUGACUAGAUUGCAGGAGAGGUAAGUGGAAUUCCUAGUGUAGCGGUGAAAUGCGUAGAUAUUAGGAGGAACACCAGUGGCGAAGGCGGCUUACUGGACUGUAAAUGACGCUGAGGCUCGAAAGCGUGGGGAGCAAACAGGAUUAGAUACCCGUGUAA